rfam:Triticum aestivum genome assembly, contig: Triticum_aestivum_CS42_TGACv1_scaffold_481317_6AL
AAUAACCAAAUAUAACACUGGGACUAAGGGUCAAAUUGGUAAUUUUUCUUACAUCUCCCCCCCCAAGGGCCCAGGUAUCAUAUACACCGCCAAAAUAAAGAGCCUUGAGUACUAGAAGAAAAGCACCGAGAC